rnacentral:lncRNA from 1 species
CGCCACCUGACGAGAAGGAAAUACAUGACAGAGAAAAACAUGGUGAAAAAUAAACCAUUGGUUAGAUACAAUGGGAGUGGAAGGGCAUCAGAUGCUUUAGGAGAGGAAACUUGUUGGGUUUGUUUGUGGGGUUUGAGAAGUUCGCCGGCGGAAACGUCAUCUUUGGAAGAGUAAAAAGGCUUGACAGGUCGCCGGCGAACGUCCAUUGUUGAUUUUUCUAGAGGUUCGCCGGCGGAAACGUCAUCUUUGGAAGAGUAAAAAGGCUUGACAGGUCGCCGGCGAACGUCCAUUAUUGAUUUUUCCGGUAGGAACACCGGCGAAGAAGGAGAUAACGUGAGAAAAUGAGGAAUGAGAGAAAAGGAAAGAAGUAUUAAGCAGUGAUGGUAUGUAUGUGUGGAGAAGCGAAAGUUGAGGAAAUGUAUUUAUAGAGAAAAAGCAGUUAGCGCGCUAUUCUUUGGGGCCACGCACUCCGCGUGCUGUUCGCCCAUCUAGUAAGUGUUUUUUCUAUUUCU